rnacentral:rRNA from 1 species
UACGUAGGGGGCAAGCGUUGUCCGGAAUCAUUGGGCGUAAAGAGCGUGUAGGCGGCCCGGUAAGUCCGCUGUGAAAGUCCAGGGCUCAACCCUGGGAUGCCGGUGGAUACUGUCGGGCUCGAGUCCGGAAGAGGAGUGUGGAAUUCCUGGUGUAGCGGUGAAAUGCGUAGAUAUCAAGAGGAACACCUGCGGCGAAGGCGGGUUGCUGGGCCGACACUGACGCUGAGGCGCGAAAGCUAGGGGAGCGAACGGG